rnacentral:ncRNA from 2 species
UAAACUCGCACGCACUCUGGUGCUCGCGCGCGCUUUCUGCUCGCGCAGUUAAACGGGAAAUAGCCGGCCCCUCGUGUCGCUCGUAUCGUCACAGGGCCAAACUAUGCUGCUCCCCGCAACGGUAGGUGAAGGCAUCGCGAAGUCGAUGCGGAGCCGUCUCGCUGCAUGUGCGUCCAACAGUGGCCCAUGCGGAUCAUCCACUGCGCGAAAACGCUCGCGCGGGAAGGAGAGGCGGCGCUUUCAUCAGCCCGGAUACCGGCCCGAGAAAACGACGCAAU